rnacentral:rRNA from 1 species
AACGAACGCUGGCGGCAGGCCUAACACAUGCAAGUCGAGCGAGGACUUCGGUCCUAGCGGCGGACGGGUGAGUAACGCGUGGGAACGUUCCCUUUGCUUCGGAAUAGCCCUGGGAAACUGGGAGUAAUACCGGAUGAGCCCUUUGGGGGAAAGAUUUAUCGGCGAAGGAUCGGCCCGCGUUGGAUUAGGUAGUUGGUGGGGUAAUGGCCUACCAAGCCGACGAUCCAUAGCUGGUUUGAGAGGAUGAUCAGCCACACUGGGACUGAGACACGGCCCAGACUCCUACGGGAGGCAGCAGUGGGGAAUCUUAGACAAUGGGGGAAACCCUGAUCUAGCCAUGCCGCGUGAGCGAUGAAGGCCUUAGGGUUGUAAAGCUCUUUCAGCUGGGGAGAUAAUGACGGUACCAGCAGAAGAAGCCCCGGCUAACUCCGUG